UCCGGGAUUGGCGCGGGCGUGCUCGGUCUGCGCCGCCUGAUGUGGGCCGCGACGCUGAUUUACUUCAUCGGUUCGAUUCCGUUUAUCGGUU
rnacentral:tRNA from 1 species